AUUGAACGCUGGCGGAAUGCUUUACACAUGCAAGUCGAACGGCAGCACGGACUUCGGUCUGGUGGCGAGUGGCGAACGGGUGAGUAAUAUAUCGGAACGUAUCCAAUAAUGGGGGAUAACUAAUCGAAAGGUUAGCUAAUACCGCAUACGCCCUGAGGGGGAAAGCUAGGGACCGCAAGGCCUGGCGUUAAUGGAGCGGCCGAUAUCUGAUUAGCUAGUUGGUGAGGUAAAGGCUCACCAAGGCUUCGAUCAGGAGCUGGUCUGAGUGGACGACCAGCCAAACUGGAACUGAGACACGGUCCAGACGCCUACGGGGGGCAGCAGUGGGGAAUUUUGGACAAUGGGCGAAAGCCUGAUCCAGCCAUUCCGCGUGAGUGAAGAAGGCCUUCGGGUUGUAAAGCUCUUUCGCAAGGGAAGAAAACUUAUCCUCUAACAUAGGGUGAGGUUGACGGUACCUUGAUAAGAAGCACCGGCUAACUACGUGCCAGCCGCCGCCGUAA
rnacentral:rRNA from 1 species